rnacentral:rRNA from 1 species
ACCAGACUCCUACGGGAGGCAGCAGUGGGGGAUAUUGCACAAUGGGGGAAACCCUGAUGCAGCAACGCCGCGUGAGUGAAGAAGUAUUUCGGUAUGUAAAGCUCUAUCAGCAGGGAAGAAGAAAGACGGUACCUGACUAAGAAGCCCCGGCUAACUACGUGCCAGCAGCCGCGGUAAUACGUAGGGGGCAAGCGUUAUCCGGAUUUACUGGGUGUAAAGGGGGCGCAGACGGCAGCGCAAGCCAGGAGUGAAAGCCCGGGGCCCAACCCCGGGACUGCUCUUGGAACUGCGCGGCUGGAGUGCAGGAGGGGCAGGCGGAAUUCCUGGUGUAGCGGUGAAAUGCGUAGAUAUCAGGAGGAACACCGGUGGCGAAGGCGGCCUGCUGGACUGCGACUGACGUUGAGGCCCGAAAGCGUGGGGAGCAAACAGGAUUAGAUACCCCUGUA